rnacentral:rRNA from 1 species
GAUGAACGCUGGCGGCGUGCCUAAUACAUGCAAGUCGAGCGAACGGACGAGAAGCUUGCUUCUCUGAUGUUAGCGGCGGACGGGUGAGUAACACGUGGAUAACCUACCUAUAAGACUGGGAUAACUUCGGGAAACCGGAUCUAAUACCGGAUAAUAUUUUGAACCGCAUGGUUCAAAAGUGAAAUACGGUCUUGCUGUCACUUAUAGAUGGAUCCGCGCUGCAUUAGCUAGUUGGUAAGGUAACGGCUUACCAAGGCAACGAUGCAUAGCCGACCUGAGAGGGUGAUCGGCCACACUGGAACUGAGACACGGUCCAGACUCCUACGGGAGGCAGCAGUAGGGAAUCUUCCGCAAUGGGCGAAAGCCUGACGGAGCAACGCCGCGUGAGUGAUGAAGGUCUUCGGAUCGUAAAACUCUGUUAUUAGGGAAGAACAUAUGUGUAAGUAACUGUGCACAUCUUGACGGUACCUAAUAAGAAAGCCACGGCUAACUACGUG